AAAUCUGUUGAAAUGCACCAUGAAGCUUUGAGUGAAGCUCUUCCUGGGGACAAUGUGGGCUUCAAUGUCAACAAUGUGUCUGUCAAAGAUGUUCGUCGUGGCAACAUUGCUGGUGACAGCAAGAAUGACCCACCAAUGGAAGCAGCUGGCUUCAUUGCUCAGGUGAUCAUCCUGAACCAUCCAGGCCAAAUCAGUGCUGGCGAUGCCCCUGUACUGGAUUGCCACACGGCUCACAUCGCAUGCAAGUUUGCUGAGCUGAAGGAAAAGAUUGAUCACCGUUCUGGUAAAAAGCUGGAAGAUGGCCCUAAAUUCUUGAAGUCUGGUGAUGCUGCCAUCGUUGAUAUGGUUCCUGGCAAGCCCAUGUGUGUUGAGAGCUUCUCAGACUAUCCACCUCUCGGUCACUUUGCUGUUCGUGAUAUGAGACAGACAGUUGCCAUGGGUGUCAUCAAAGCAGUGGACCAGAAGGCUGCUGGGGCUGGCAAGGUCACCAAGUCUGCCCAGAAAGCUCAGAAGGCUAAAUGAAUAUUACCCCUAAUACCUGCCACCUUAGUCUUAAUCAGUGGUGGAGGA